rnacentral:rRNA from 1 species
GAUGAACGCUAGCGGGAGGCCUAACACAUGCAAGCCGAGCGGUAGAGUUUCUUCGGAAACUUGAGAGCGGCGCACGGGUGCGUAACACGUGUGCAACCUACCUUUAUCUGGGGGAUAGCCUUUCGAAAGGAAGAUUAAUACCCCAUAAUAUAAUGAUUGGCAUCAAUUAUUAUUGAAAACUCCGGUGGAUAGAGAUGGGCACGCGCAGGAUUAGAUAGUUGGUGAGGUAACGGCUCACCAAGUCAAUGAUCUUUAGGGGUCCUGAGAGGGAGAUCCCCCACACUGGUACUGAGACACGGACCAGACUCCUACGGGAGGCAGCAGUGAGGAAUAUUGGACAAUGGGUGAGAGCCUGAUCCAGCCAUACCGCGUGAAGGAUGACGGCCCUAUGGAUUGUAAACUUCUUUUGUACAGGGAUAAACCUACCCUCGUGAGGGUAGCUGAAGGUACUGUACGAAUAAGCACCGGCUAACUCCGU